rnacentral:rRNA from 1 species
AUUGAACGCUGGCGGCAGGCCUAACACAUGCAAGUCGAGCGGAGCGGCGGACGGGUGAGUAAUGCCUAGGAAUCUGCCUGGUAGUGGGGGAUAACGUACGGAAACGGGCGCUAAUACCGCAUACUAUCAGAUGAGCCCAGAUGGGAUUAGUUUGUUGGUGGGGUAACGGCUCACCAAGGCGACGAUCCCUAGCUGGUCUGAGAGGAUGACCAGCCACACGGGAACUGAGACACGGCCCAGACUCCUACGGGAGGCAGCAGUGGGGAAUAUUGCACAAGGGGGGAAAGCCGGAUGCAGCCAUGCCGCGUGGAUGAAGAAGGCUUUCGGGUUGUAAAGUACGUUCAGCGGGGAGGCGUUACCCGAAUAAGAAGCCCCGGCUAACUCCGUGCCAGCAGCCGCGGUAAUUC